rnacentral:rRNA from 1 species
UACGGGGGGGGCAAGCGUUGUUCGGAAUUACUGGGCGUAAAGGGCUCGUAGGCGGCCAACUAAGUCGGACGUGAAAUCCCCAGGCUCAACCUGGGAACUGCGUCCGAUACUGGAUGGCUUGAAUCCGGGAGAGGGAUGCAGAAUUCCAGGUGUAGCGGUGAAAUGCGUAGAUAUCUGGAGGAAUACCGGUGGCGAAGGCGGCAUCCUGGACCGGCAUUGACGCUGAGGAGCGAAAGCUAGGGUAGCAAACGGG